CAAAUCUACACUCUGAUCUACGCACUCUAAUGGCGCCGGAGCCGGAAGACUUGAAGGACGAGGAGAACCCUAGACCCCUUGAUGAUGACGACAUCGCCCUCCUCAGCGCUCACUAAGAAUGUUGAGAAGGAAAACAAGGAGCUGGCUAAAAAGAUAGCUAGAUGCACGAAGAUAAUCAGUCCUAAUUAUGAAGAUGCCAAAUAUGUCAUAAACGUUAAGCAGAUUGCUAAGUUUGUAGUCGGCCUGGGCGAUAAGGUUUCCUCAACAGAUAUAGAAGAGGGCAUGCGUGUCGGG